rnacentral:rRNA from 1 species
CACGGAGUUAGCCGGCGCUUCUUCUGCGGGUAACGUCAAUUGCUGUGGUUAUUAACCACAACACCUUCCUCCCCGCUGAAAGUACUUUACAACCCGAAGGCCUUCUUCAUACACGCGGCAUGGCUGCAUCAGGCUUGCGCCCAUUGUGCAAUAUUCCCCA